GAAACAGUGGCUAAGACUGGAUAGGAAGAAAUAAGGCAUCUUAUUUCUUUUAAAAGACCUAGUAAUAGGUAUACUUUAGGAGGGGCUUGCGCCAUAUUAGUUAGUUGGUAGGGUAAUGGCCUACCAAGACGAUGAUGUGUAGCUGGACUGAGAGGUUGAACAGCCACAUUGGGACUGAGACACGGCCCAAACUCCUACGGGAGGCAGCAGUAAGGAAUUUUCGGCAAUGGAGGAAACUCUGACCGAGCAACGCCGCGUGAACGACGAAGUACUUUGGUAUGUAAAGUUCUUUUAUCAAGGAAGAAAAGCAAGUGGCGAACCAUUUGUUUGCCGGUACUUGAUGAAUAAGCCCCGGCUAAUUAUGUGCCAGCAGCCGCGGUAAGACAUAAGGGGCAAGUGUUAUCCGGAAUUAUUGGGCGUAAAGGGUGCGUAGGCGGUCUAGUAAGUCAGUGGUGUAAUGGCAACGCUCAACGUUGUCCGGCUAUUGAAACUGCUAAACUUGAGUUAGAUAGAGGCGAGUGGAAUUCCAUGUGUAGCGGUAAAAUGCGUAAAUAUAUGGAGGAACACCAGAGGCGUAGGCGGCUCGCUGGGUCUUAACUGACGCUGAGGCACGAAAGCGUGGGGAGCAAACAGGAUUAGAUACCCUGGUAGUCCACGCCGUAAACGAUGAGUACUAAGUGUCGGGUUAAACCGGUACUGAAGUUAACACAUUAAGUACUCCGCCUGAGUAGUACGUACGCAAGUAUGAAACUUAAAGGAAUUGACGGGACUCCGCACAAGCGGUGGAUCAUGUUGUUUAAUUCGAAGAUACCCGAAAAACCUUACCAGGUCUUGACAUGUUUUUGCGAAACGGUAGUAAUAUCGUAGAGGUUAUCAGAAACACAGGUGGUGCAUGGUUGUCGUCAGCUCGUGUCGUGAGAUGUUAGGUUAAGUCCUAAAACGAGCGAAACCCUUAUCGUUAGUUGCCAGCACGUUAUGGUGGGGACUUUAACGAGACUGCCAGUGAUAAACUGGAGGAAGGUGAGGAUCACGUCAAAUCAGCAUGCCCCUUAUGACCUGGGCUACAAACGUGAUACAAUGGCUGUUACAAAGGGUAGCUGAAACGUAAGUUCUUGGCCAAUCCCCAAAAACAGUCUCAGUCCGGAUUGAAGUCUGCAACUCGACUUCAUGAAGUUGGAAUCGCUAGUAAUCGCGAAUCAGCAUGUCGCGGUGAAUACGUUCUCGGGGUUUGUACACACCGCCCGUCAAAC
rnacentral:rRNA from 1 species